UCUCUGGCUGCUCCCCAAACCCCAGCAAUCUGCUUUUCAUGUUGUAACUCUUGCUGUUUUUCUAGAUAUCCAAUGUAAAGAAAGAAAACCUCUCCUCAGGGGAAGGAGGAGGGGGGAAGCCCUUGAACUUGGCACUGCGAGAUGUGGUCUAAGUGUUGUCAUGAGCUUGGGGAGUCUUUUUUGUUGGCUCCUGUGCCAUUGUUAUUCAAGAUUGCAAACUCAUCUGCUGUAGAUUGCGACUCACGGAAGCAUGCCAGAAUAGCCUAACUUAUCACAAAGGCACAAACAGCCCAUCCACUGCUAUUCUUUUGACUAGUUUAUGCAACAAGUUUUGCAUCUGUUAUCUUUGCUCCCAACCAAGAAGAUAUUGCUGAAGUGUGCCUUGGUCAAAUCACAGCAUGGAGUAGAACAGUGAUGCGCUCACAUCAAAAUUGAUUUGUAUGAUAUGAUUCAAUCAAUGUACAUGGAUUCUGUCCCUAUGCAUGGGAUUAAAUCAACCAUCAGAAAGAGACAGAUAUUACUCUUUUGAUAUGAACAUGCAAUCCUGCGAUCACAGUUUUCACACCAGUGAUGCACAGCUGAGCUUCUGGACCUUGGUGAUUCCCAAGAGGGAGAGAUCUUGGUUAUGAAAUUUGGUUGCUUUUCUUCAAACCCCACCUGCAUUUACUUCUUGUCCUUGAUUUAUCAAGGUGGCAACAUAUUGGUCUGAAACCAAUUGAUUAAUCCAAGCUAGAAUGGCUGUUAAUUGACAUCAAAUUGACUUUGACUUAUGGCAACCCUAUGAAUGAGAGACCUCCAAGUCAAUCUGCUCAGGUCUUGGAGACUCAAGGCUAUGGCAUCCUCAUUUAACUUUAUAUACAGGCAAUGCAAUCUUAGGCUUUUCCUAUUGCCUUCUACCUCCUCAGACAUUGUUGUCCUUUUUAAUGAGUCAUAUUGUCUCAUGAUGUAUCCAAAGUAAAAC